rnacentral:rRNA from 1 species
AAUCAACGCUGGCGGCGUGCCUAACACAUGCAAGUCGAGCGAGAAAAGGGGAGCAAUCCCCUGAGUACAGCGGCGCACGGGUGAGUAACACGUGGGUAAUCUGCCCUGGAGUGGGGAAUAACACCGGGAAACCGGUGCUAAUACCGCAUACGAUCACAGAGUCUGCGGAUUUUGUGAUGAAAGGAGCAAUUCGCUCUAGGAGGAGCCCGCGGCUGAUUAGCUAGUUGGUGAGGUAAUGGCUCACCAAGGCAACGAUCAGUAUCCGGUCUGAGAGGACGGUCGGACACACUGGAACUGAGACACGGUUCAGACUCCUACGGGAGGCAGCAGUGGGGAAUUUUUGGCAAUGGGGGCAACCCUGACCAAGCAACGCCGCGUGGGUGAUGAAGUCUCUUGGGACGUAAAACCCUUUCGACGGGGACGAAGCCGCAAGGUUGACGGUACCCGUAGAAGAAGCCCCGGCUAACUCCGUGCCAGCAGCCGCGGUAAUACGGGGGGGGCAAGCGUUGUUCGGAAUUACUGGGCGUAAAGGGCGCGUAGGCGGUUCGCUAAGUCGGAUGUGAAAACUCUGGGCUCAACCCAGAGCCUGCAUCCGAAACUGGCGGGCUAGAGUUCUGGAGGGGGUAGCGGAAUUCCUGGUGUAGCGGUGAAAUGCGUAAGAUAU